UACGUAGGGUGCAAGCGUUAAUCGGAAUUACUGGGCGUAAAGCGUGCGCAGGCGGUGAUGUAAGACAGCUGUGAAAUCCCCGGGCUCAACCUGGGAACUGCAUCUGUGACUGCAUCGCUGGAGUGCGGCAGAGGGGGAUGGAAUUCCGCGUGUAGCAGUGAAAUGCGUAGAUAUGCGGAGGAACACCGAUGGCGAAGGCAAUCCCCUGGGCCUGCACUGACGCUCAUGCACGAAAGCGUGGGGAGCAAACGGG
rnacentral:rRNA from 1 species